rnacentral:rRNA from 1 species
UCGGGAAUUUUGGGCAAUGGGCGAAAGCCUGACCCAGCAACGCCGCGUGAAGGAUGAAGUAUUUCGGUAUGUAAACUUCGUAAGAAUAGGAAGAAUAAAUGACGGUACUAUUUGUAAGGUCCGGCUAACUACGUGCCAGCAGCCGCGGUAAUACGUAGGGACCAAGCGUUGUUCGGAUUUACUGGGCGUAAAGGGCGCGUAGGCGGCAUGACAAGUCACUUGUGAAAUCUCCGGGCUUAACUCGGAACGGCCAAGUGAUACUGUCGCGCUAGAGUGCAGAAGGGGCAAUCGGAAUUCUUGGUGUAGCGGUGAAAUGCGUAGAUAUCAAGAGGAACACCUGAGGUGAAGACGGGUUGCUGGGCUGACACUGACGCUGAGGCGCGAAAGCUAGGGUAGCAAACGGG